rnacentral:rRNA from 1 species
GACGAACGCUGGCGGCGUGCUUAACACAUGCAAGUCGAACGAAGUGGCGAACGGGUGAGUAAUACGUGGGAAACCUGCCCUUCUUUGUGGGUUAAGCCUUGGAAACGUGGUCUAAAACCGAAUACAGUGGGAUGGGAUCGCGGCUGAUCAGCUGGUUGGUGGUGGGUUGGCCUACCAAGGCGGUGACGGUUAGCCGGCAUGCGAGGGGGACCGGCCAUAUGGGGACGGCGAUACGGCUCAGACUGGUACGGGAGGAGGCAGUGGCGGAUAGUGCGCAAUGGUCGAAAGCCUGAGGCAGCGAUGCCGCGUGGGGGAUGAAGGCGUACGGGUUGUAAACCUCUUGCGCUAUCGAACGGGUAGGUGGAGAAGAAGCGCCGGCUAACUACGUGCCAGCAGCCGCGGUAAUAC